ACUGAUGGGAGCAGUCCCUUCUCUCUGCAGCUGUUGGCCACCACUGGAGGACUUCAGUAGGGGAGGAUGCUCUCUGACAGGUGUUGGAAUGAGAAACAUGGAGCUUGUGGGCAAUGUGCCUGGGCCAACCGGGGUACAGAAGCUGAUGAGGAAACUCCAGCCAGAGCUAUGGAACAGAGGAGGGACCCCAGGUUUGCUGUGUGCCCAGCUUGGUGCUGAGUCCUGGCGGUUCAUCAUUGGAUUCAGUCUUCAUCACUAGCCCGUGGAGGAGACGGAGGACUGGGGUUUCCACUUUCUUUUCUAAAACAGAAACAUUUUAACAAAUAAAAUAACCUUCAACAUUCAGUAGA